GACUACGGCAAAAGAAAACGAAGAAAGAAAUCAAAAAGAGACAAAGAAGAAAGCAGGAAACAGACGAAAAAGACAAACACAAAAACAAUUUUUUAUAAGAGCUUGUCUCGGGACGGUUCAACCGUUGGAAAGUUCUUUCUUGAUUCAAUAGGGGCGGGGGCAUGGCCGUUCUUAGUUGGUGGAGUGAUUUGUCUGGUUAAUUCCGUUAACGAACGAGACCUUAACAUGAUAAAUAGUCACGCGAACCGGUCCGCAAGGGCUCAAAGUUCGCGGCUGGACAUGUAAGAGGGACUAUUGGCACCCGCCAGCGAAGGGAAGUGUGAGGCAAUAACAGGUCUGUGAUGCCCGUAGAGGUUGUCGGCCGCACGCGCGUUACAAUGAAGGAGUCAAUCGAGCGUUUAGCAUGACACGACAGGAAAGGGAAAACCAAAAAAUUAGGUUGAGAUGGAAAUAAAAAAAAGAAAAAAAGGAUUUUGAAAGAGGAAAAACAAAGAAACAAAAGAGUAUAUCAAAACAAGUAGAGAUCAUCAUACAUUAGAGAAAAAAAAGAUACGAUACAGUACACUGAUAAUCAAGG
rnacentral:rRNA from 1 species